rnacentral:lncRNA from 1 species
UUGUGGUUGCGCAUAUUUACUUUGGGACUAUGGGUUUGAUUCCCGGGAGAUCCCCUUGCAUAUUUACUUUGGGACUACGGGUUUGAUUCCCGGCAAAUCCCCCUGCAUAUUACUUUGGGACUGCGGGUUUGAUUCCCGAGAGAUCCCCCUGCAUAUUUACUUUGGGACUACGGGUUGGCUUCCCGGGAGAUCCCUCUGUACUUGAUAUGUUCUGGACUGAGGGUGUGGGAUACCAAGAGAUCCCUGGCACAUGAGAUUGUAAGAUAUGAG